rnacentral:rRNA from 1 species
CGUCUAUAUACGUAUAGCAUAUCAAUAAGCGGAGGAAAAGAAACUAACUAGGAUUCCCUCAGUAACGGCGAGUGAAGCGGGAAGAGCUCAAAUUUGAAAUCUUCAAGGUUCUACCUUGACGAAUUGUAGUUUAAAGAAGUGUUUUCUGUUGGAGUUUUGGUAAAAGUUCUUUGGAAUAGGACAUCAUAGAGGGUGAGAAUCCCGUAUUUGACCAUUAUUUCCAACUUUGUGAUACACUUUCAAAGAGUCGGAUUGUUUGGGAAUGCAGUCCAAAAUGGGUGGUAAAUUUCAUCUGAAGCUAAAUACUGGCGAGAGACCGAUAGCGAACAAGUACCGUGAGGGAAAGAUGAAAAGAACUUUGAAAAGAGAGUUAAACAGUACGUGAAAUUGUCAAAAGGGAAGCGUUUGACACCAGUGUUGUUUUCUCGAAAAUCAAUUAAAAAUGGCGGGAUUUUGUGUUGUAUUGACUUUAUCAGCUUUCUGCACUUUUUUCCUUGUCUUUUUUAAUGCACUUUUCGUUUAACAAGUCAACAUCAAUUUCUUUUGUUGUAAAAGGGUCAUUGGAAGGUGGCUUUCUUUUCGGAGAAAGUGUUUAUAGCCUUUGACUUCUGCAAUCGGAGAGAUUGAGGUCUGCAGCGUAGAUCCUUCGGGGUUAGAUGACAUUUGUGCUAAGUUAUAGCCUUUCAUAGACAACUUGUUGACUAUGAUCAGUCAUGUAGCUUACUCGCUUAUGUCAUUUUACCUACGCUUAGGAUGUUGAUCUGUAGUGCGUGCGC